UUGCCCUUGAACUGCUUCCUUAACUAAAAAUGAAAGUGGGGUGAUUUGAACGAUGCAAAAUGGUAUGUGUAAGGAAUGUAGACAGCGGAUUAUACUAUUGAGGUGAUUUCAAAGGCGCAGAGAAUUAUAUAAACAUGUGUGCAGUCCUAAUAGUAAGUGACCAGCAGGUUUUAUUUUUUUACACCUAAAGAAACAGCUCAUGGCCAAAAAAAUAAGGUGUAAAUAAAAAGCCGCUAAUCGCUGUUCCCACAAAGACAAAAAUAAUGAGCGUUGGUGGGCAGGUUCUGUCUGAGUGAGGAGCCGAGUGUCCUCCACCUCCCAUAGCUCACUCUUUCCCUUUCUCUUUUUCUUGUUUAUCUCCUCAUUCUCUCUGGAGACUCGGUAUGGGUGAUGUUGCCGUGGCUGGAUUUCCUUUCCCAUGGUUAUCUGCCACAUCACACCAUGCAUAACACCAGCCACAGCCCCGAGGAAAACACUCAUGAGACCCCCGAUCCAUAUUCUUUUUGGCCUCGGAACAACAGAUAGUCUUUCAGCCGUAGGUCACGGGAAAGAAGGUUGGGAGACAAAGGAUAACAAACUCCUUCAACUUGGGUAUUGUAUUAUCAAGUUAUACAACAACGUGUUAAGGCUGAACGCCGAAAACGAGAAUAACGUCUUUGUGUUGUAAAAGGAAUGCAACACCAUGCCCGGGACACUCACCUCGGCGCCGGACGCUAGCGACGUAACACAAACAAAAACAAGUGUCAUAGAAAACUAAUGAAAAAAAAUGAAUAAGGAGUCGCAGGAUAGAUUAGAUAAAAUUUACGAUGGAAUGAGUAUUAAAACGAUGGAGCCAACAAUGUAACUCUAGAUAAGAAAAUGUCAUGAUAAUACAGAGAAUACUAUUAGGAAGUCGCAGAACACAUGCAAAUCACAGAAUAGAUAAGACUGAAGUUUGCCGUGGAAUGAACACUAAACCAGAAGACAGUAACUGAAGGUGGAACUAACAACGCACCUCUGGGUCAAAAAACGUCGUGAUAGACAAGGACGUAAUAGUAACAAGCUGAAAACGGGUAAAACUAGCCUUGAAAAUUGAAUACAAACUAAUGACUGUGAUUGAAGUACCAGAAGGACAGUAGCCGAAGGUGGAAUUUACAACGUGACUCAAGAUAAUAAACAAAGUAGCAAUAGUGACAAGCUGAAAAACAGGUAAAACUAGUCUUGAAAUUUAAAUACAAACUAAUGACUGUGAUUGAAGUACCAGAAGGACAGUAGCCGAAGGUGGAAUUUACAACGUGACUCAAGAUAAUAAACAAAGUAGCAAUAGGAACAAGCCGAUAGAAAGGUAAAACUAGCCUUGAAAUUUAAAUACAAACUAAUGACUUUGAUUGAAGUAAAAGGAAGACAAUAGUCGAAGGUGGAUUUUACAACGUGACUCGAGAUAAUAAAACGUCAUAAUAAACAAAGUAGCAAUAGGAACAAGCCGAAAGAAAGGUAAAACUAGCCUUGAAAUCAGAAUACAAAGAAAAGACAGUGAAUGAAG